GAGUGUGGUUAAAGCAGGCCUGGGUGGUAUAGACAGGAGGAGCAGCUGUCUUGUCCUGGGCCCCAUUCACCUACUCUGGACAAAGCACCCCAUUGGCUGCCCACAG
ensembl:miRNA